rnacentral:misc_RNA from 1 species
CAGAGAUCAUGCCCUCACGGGUAGACCUCCCACCCUGUGUUAUUUACUCUUGUUGCUUUGGCAGGCCGCCUUCGGGCUCUCGGCUCCGGCUGAGGUGCGCCUGCCAGAGGACCCCAACUCUGUGUUUAGUGUCGUCUGAGUACUAUAUAAUAAGUUA